rnacentral:rRNA from 1 species
GAUGAACGCUGGCGGCGUGCCUAAUACAUGCAAGUCGAGCGAACGGGCGAGAAGCUUGCUUCUCUGAUGUUAGCGGCGGACGGGUGAGUAACACGUGGAUAACCCACCUAUAAGACUGGGAUAACUUCGGGAAACCGGAGCUAAUACCGGAUGAUAUUUUGAACCGCAUGGUUCAAAAGUGAAAGACGGUCUUGCUGUCACUUAUAGAUGGAUCCGCGCUGCAUUAGCUAGUUGGUAAGGUAACGGCUUACCAAGGCAACGAUGCAUAGCCGACCUGAGAGGGUGAUCGGCCACACUGGAACUGAGACACGGUCCAGACUCCUACGGGAGGCAGCAGUAGGGAAUCUUCCGCAAUGGGCGAAAGCCUGACGGAGCAACGCCGCGUGAGUGAUGAAGGUCUUCGGAUCGUAAAACUCUGUUAUUAGGGAAGAACAUAUGUGUAAGUAACUGUGCACAUCUUGACGGUACCUAAUCAGAAAGCCACGGCUAACUACGUG